CAGACGUCCUGGAUUAACCGGAACAGUCCCGAUUUUGAGUUGCGCGUCCUGAGUCCCGACAAAAGCCUGUCAGGAUGCUAAAAUGCUAUUUUUACAAAUUAAA